rnacentral:tRNA from 1 species
GGGCGCUUAGCUCAGCUGGUCAGAGCGCUUCGUUUACACCGAAGAGGUCGGGGGUUCGAGUCCCUCAGCGCCCA